CCUACGGGAGGCAGCAGUGAGGAAUAUUGGUCAAUGGGCGCAAGCCUGAACCAGCCAAGUCGCGUGAGGGAUGAAGGUUCUAUGGAUCGUAAACCUCUUUUAUAAGGGAAUAAAGUGCGGGACGUGUCCCGUUUUGUGUGUACCUUAUGAAUAAGGAUCGGCUAACUCCGUGCCAGCAGCCGCGGUAAUACGGAGGAUCCGAGCGUUAUCCGGAUUUAUUGGGUUUAAAGGGUGCGUAGGCGGCCUUUUAAGUCAGCGGGUAAAGUUUGUGGCUUAACCAUAGAAGGGCCGUUGAAACUGGGUGCCUUGAGUAUGUGUGAGGCAGGCGGAAGGCGUGGUGUAGCGGUGAAAUGCUUAGAUAUCACGCAGAACCCCGAUUGCGAAGGCAGCCUGCCAAGCCAUGACUGACGCUGAUGCACGAAAGCGUGGGGAUCAAACAGGAUUAGAUACCCGGGUAGUC
rnacentral:rRNA from 1 species